rnacentral:rRNA from 1 species
UACGGAGGGUCCGAGCGUUAUCCGGAUUUAUUGGGUUUAAAGGGUGCGUAGGUGGAUUGGUAAGUCAGUGGUGAAAGUUUGCAGCUUAACUGUAAAAUUGCCGUUGAAACUGCCGGUCUUGAGUGCAAAUGAGGUAGGCGGAAUGCGUCGUGUAGCGGUGAAAUGCUUAGAUAUGACGCAGAACUCCGAUUGCGAAGGCGGCUUACUGGGAUGCAACUGACGCUGAGGCACGAAAGCGUGGGUAUCAAACAGGAUUAGAUACCCUGGUA